CCUGUAAUAUCAUUUAAUGGUUUCGUUCAGUGUUUAAAGUGUUUGUUUUACCGAUAAAGAAUGAUAUUGUAAAGAAAAAAAGAUAUCAAACACGUAAUUCAAUGCAUACGGUGGUUUGCUUAGAAACUUACGCUUGUGUGAUAUGAUUCAUGAUGUAAUUUCUUCGACCAUAUAUGUACCGAAAUAACAAUAUCAUGAAUACGUGACUAUUAACAGAUUGAUAACGAGUAAUUUCUCGAAGGUAUCAGUUUUAUUAUAUUGUUAUUUCUCGAAGGUCAUACUUUAAUUUACUAAACAUUGCACAAUAGAAACUUACGUGCUGUUUCGAAUUAUCGAACAAAUUCAUUUGUAUUUUUAAUGAUGGAAGAAAAAAUAGAAAGUGAAAAAUACCAUCAAAAAUGUUAAAUGGUAUCAUAUUCCGUAUGGAAAAAAAUUCCACUCGUAUAUUAUAGACAACGAACAAGCAAUUUUGCUUGUUGAAUGAAUCAUCCUAAAAAAGGGUUCUCGUUUGCAAGAGCCUUUGGCAUUCAUUGGCCUUGAAGAAAUCUUGUUCAGAAUUUUUAACGUGUAAAGUAAUAUAAAAUCAUAGUCUCCUUUCUAAAUAGGAUUUUAUUGUACUAUGAUUCGAAUUUUUCUAAAACAAUACAAAAACAUUUUGUUUAUAUAUUUUAUAUUUACAUUGUGUAAAUUUUUUUCAUUUAAGAAAUUCGAAGAAUAAUUAUAAUAAUGAAAGAAUAAAAAUUAAAUCCGCUUAGUUUUAAUUCGUUAAUUGCAUUUCCGCUAUCACGUAACAAUUCCGCCAAUGUAAUUUAUAUCUGCGUUUUUAAAAAUAGUUUUUGCCAAUAUUUCAAGUUUUUAUCAUAAUUAAUUAUAGUACGGUAUUAAUUAUAAUAUAAUUAUAACAUAAAAUGUUAAAAAUUAUUUUAUUUGCAUUUUUUUAAAUAAAAAAAAAUGCUUCAUAAAUUGCUUUUAAUAAAUUUUUUUGUUUUUAAUAUAAUUUUAUUUAUUUGCAAUGUACACAUUUAGUAAUCAAUGUUAACAUUAGUUGAAUGCAAUUAACCUUGUCCAUGUUGAUGGUGUCCGCUUUGUUACGUUGCAUGAUCUCAUAUUAUAUGGAGCAUCAAAAUUUUCCAUGGCAUUCAAUAAAUCUAAUUGACUAGAUAAGGGUCAAACAAGUGCCGAAUUACAGCGUGGGAUUAUAUAAGU